rnacentral:rRNA from 1 species
CCUACGGGUGGCAGCAGUAGGGAAUAUUGCUCAAUGGGGGAAACCCUGAAGCAGCAACGCCGCGUGGAGGAUGAAGGUUUUCGGAUUGUAAACCUCUUUUGUUAGAGAAGAUAAUGACGGUAUCUAACGAAUAAGCACCGGCUAAUUCCGUGCCAGCAGCCGCGGUAAUACGGCGGGUGCAAGCGUUAUUCGGAAUCACUGGGCGUAAAGAGCGCGUAGGCGGGAUAGCAAGUCAGAGGUGAAAUCCUAUGGCUUAACCAUAGAACUGCAUUUGAAACUGUUAGACUAGAGUGUGGGAGAGGUAGGUGGAAUUCUUGGUGUAGGGGUAAAAUGCGUAGAGAUCAAGAGGAAUACUCAUUGCGAAGGCGGCCUGCUAGAACAUAACUGACGCUGAUGCGCGAAAGCGUGGGGAGCAAACAGGAUUAGAUACCCUUGUAGUC